GACACUAUGGCUUAGUGGUAGAGCAUGCGAUUGCAACUGCUAUGUUAUUAUCGCGAGAUCAUGGGUUCGACCCCAGUAGUGUUU